GGGGAAGAGAAAGAAACAUGUCCUUACAAAAAAGUUGCAGUGACAGGGGAGCAAGAGCUAUGUUCAAAGCAUAAAGUGGACCACUGUUAAAUUAAAGUGUCCCUGGGCUCAAUCUCCAGUGCCACAAAAAAGGGGAGAGAGCAAAAUUUAACAGUGAUUAUUACAACAGUUAGAUACAAAUUAUUCCAAUACUCCAAAGAAAAAAGAUAUCUAAUUUAAGAAAAAAAAAAAACUUACAGAUUUUAUUUACACAUUAAACAAGAAUUUAUUGAGAAUUUAGUAUUCCAGGCACUUCAGUGAGUGACCAAGAAGUGUCCCUGCCUUAACUUGUGCUUAAUUCUUUCAAGAGACCUUGGUUUUUAUAGUAUUUGAAUGACUACAAAACACCUAUUGGACACCUAAUAUGUGCCAGGUACUGAAUUAAAUCCCUUUUGUAUGCUAUUUUUGCUAACCUGUCCUAAUCUCGGAUUUUUAGGCCAUUUGGCUACAUUUCUAUCUGGCAUAAUCUUGCCAAUUUUGAGGACAAGAAUCCUGAAGCCAGAAGUCCCUCUUCAGGUGGGCUAGUUGAAACUGGUUGGAUGCAAGAUGGUUACCAGAAUGGCCAUGAUGCAAUCUCUAACUUCAUUAUAAUCCUACCCACAAGCUAAGUAACACCCUUCCCCCAAGCACCAUGAGAAUUGAAAACUGCCAUAUGGAUGACCAGAAAUAACCACAAAAGGAGCAAAAAUGAGGUGGUGCAGAAAUUAGGGAAAUAUCCUCCCAUUCCCAGAAAAAACAUCAAUAUUCCUCACCAUUAUUUCUUUUACCCUACAUCCAUACUUCACAACACCCCAAGGGUGGGAAAUUGGUUUGCAAUUUUAUCUUCUACUUCUCCUAGUCUUAACCAAGAAUAAAGUCAC
rnacentral:lncRNA from 1 species